rnacentral:rRNA from 1 species
AUUGAACGCUGGCGGCAUGCUUUACACAUGCAAGUCGAACGGCAGCGCGGGCUUCGGCCUGGCGGCGAGUGGCGAACGGGGGAGUAAUGCAUCGGAACGUUCCCAGUAGUGGGGGAUAGCCCGGCGAAAGCCGGAUUAAUACCGCAUACGACCUGAGGGUGAAAGCGGGGGACCGAAAUGCGUGGCGCGAUUGGAGCGGCCGAUGUCGGAUUAGCUAGUUGGUGGGGUAAAGGCUUACCAGGGCGACGAGCCGUAGCUGGUGUGAGAGGACGACCAGCCACACUGGGACUGAGACACGGCCCAGACUCCUACGGGAGGCAGCAGUGGGGAAUUUUGGACAAUGGGGGCAACCCUGAUCCAGCAAUGCCGCGUGCGGGCAGAAGGCCUUCGGGUUGUAAACCGCUUUUGUUCGGGAAGAAAUCAUCUGCGCUAAUACCCCGGGGGGAUGACGGUACCGGAAGAAUAAGCACCAGCUAACUACGUG